GGCUGUCUGAGGUUUGCUAAUACCUGAUAUCCUGGAUAACACAGUAGUCAACACAAAUUGUUCUAGGCUACAGCACCUUCUCACGAAGCAGAUGCAUAUCUGACAUCAAGAACAGAAGUAGCCUCAUCUUCCUCUUCAGACAUUUUAGUGGAAUUAUCGGGGGAUUUUACAGGCUUCUGGCUAUUGGUUCCAUUUGUCUCCUCUUUGCCGUGUUCUGCCUCCCACUCCUGUAGAACUUCAUCUAUGUUGAAACGACGUCGGUAAUUUACAAAAAAGUUUUUCACUUGCACCACAGAUUUGUUACCGAUCACAUCAGAGAUUGCCUGAAAGUCUCGUCCGUAUUUCCUGAUUGCUUGCACAGCAAGAAGCUGCUCAUCUGUGGUCCAACGUGCAUUAAAUUUCUGAACAACCUCCGGAAGUCUG
rnacentral:lncRNA from 1 species